rnacentral:rRNA from 1 species
UACGGGAGGCAGCAGUGAGGAAUAUUGGUCAAUGGGCGCAAGCCUGAACCAGCCAUCCCGCGUGCAGGAAGACGGCGCUAUGCGUUGUAAACUGCUUUUCCAGGGGGAGAAACUUGCGCACGUGUUGCGCAAUUGACGGUACCCUGGGAAUAAGCAUCGGCUAACUCCGUGCCAGCAGCCGCGGUAAU